GAGUUUGAUCCUGGCUCAGAACGUACGCUGGCGGCACGCCUAACACAUGCAAGUCGAACGAAGUAGCAAUACUUAGUGGCAGACGGGUGAGUAACAUGUAGGUAUCUGCCCUUUGGCCUGGAAUAACACGAGGAAACUUGUGCUAAUACCGGAUAAGUCUUUACGGAGAAAGCUUUAUGCACCAUUGGAUGAGCCUGCACUUGAUUAGUUUGUUGGUAGGGUAAUGGCCUACCAAGACUGUGAUCAAUAGCUGAUUUGAGAGGAUGAUCAGCCACAUUGGGACUGAGACACGGCCCAAACUCCUACGGGAGGCAGCAGUGGGGAAUCUUGCACAAUGGAGGAAACUCUGAUGCAGCGAUGCCGCGUGAGUGAAGAAGGCCCUUGGGUUGUAAGGCUCUUUCGUCGGGGAAGAAAAUGACUGUACCCGAAUAAGAAGGUCCGGCUAACUUCGUGCCAGCAGCCGCGGUAAUACGAAGGGACCUAGCGUAGUUCGGAAUUACUGGGCUUAAAGAGUUCGUAGGUGGUUGAAAAAGUUAGUGGUGAAAUCCCAGAGCUUAACUCUGGAACUGCCAUUAAAACUUUUCAGCUAGAGUAUGAUAGAGGAAAGCAGAAUUUCUAGUGUAGAGGUGAAAUUCGUAGAUAUUAGAAAGAAUACCAAUUGCGAAGGCAGCUUUCUGGAUCAUUACUGACACUGAGGCACGAAAGCAUGGGUAGCGAAGAGGAUUAGAUACCCUCGUAGUCCAUGCCGUAAACGAUGUGUGUUAGACGUUGGAAAUUUAUUUUCAGUGUCGCAGCGAAAGCGAUAAACACACCGCCUGGGGAGUACGACCGCAAGGUUAAAACUCAAAUGAAUUGACGGGGACCCGCACAAGUAGUGGAGCAUGUGGUUUAAUUCGAAGAUACGCGCAGAACCUUACCAACACUUGACAUGUUCGUCGCGACUCUAAGAGAUUAGAGUUUUCGGUUCGGCCGGACGAAACACAGGUGCUGCAUGGCUGUCGUCAGCUCGUGUCGUGAGAUGUUGGGUUAAGUCCCGCAACGAGCGCAACCCUCACUUUUAGUUGCCAUCAUUAAGUUGGGCACUCUGAAAGAACUGCCAGUGAUAAGCUGGAGGAAGGUGGGGAUGACGUCAAGUCCUCAUGGCCCUUACGUGUUGGGCUACACACGUGCUACAAUGGUAUCUACAACAGGAAGCAAAACGGCAACGUUAAGCAAAUCCCGAAAAGAUACCUCAGUUCGGAUUGCACUCUGCAACUCGAGUGCAUGAAGCUGGAAUUACUAGUAAUCGUGGAUCAGCGUGCCACGGUGAAUGCGUUCCCGGGUCUUGUACACACCGCCCGUCACACCAUGGGAGUUGGUUCUACCCUAAGGCAAGGUUUUAAACCCUUGACCACGGUAUAGUCAGCGACUGGGGUGAAGUCGUAACAAGGUAACC
rnacentral:rRNA from 1 species